UGGGUAGUGACGGAGGCAGUUAGCUCAUGUCUCACGAACAAGUAUUCAAAAGGAUUACCAAGUAAAAGGUACUAUGGUGGCAAUGAGCAUAUUGAUGAGCUUGAAACACUAUGCCAAAGAGGGCUCUUGAUGCAUUUCACUUAGAUGGAAAGAGGUGGGGUGUUAAUGUUCAACCAUUGUCUGGUUCUCCUGCUAAUUUUGAGGUUUAUACUGCAAUUCUUAAACCUCAUGAUCGUCUCAUGGGUUUGGACUUGUCUCACGGAGGUCAUUUGUCUCAUGGUUUCAAAACUCCUAAAAGAUGGGUAUCAGGCACAUCCAUUUAUUUGAGUCCAUGUCUUAUUGACUCAAUGAAAAAUUUCUCCAUUCUGGGUAGAUAAUCCUCUCACAGACUCAACUGAGAUCUCCUAUCAAUCCUCUCAUACAAUCUUCAUCAGUUCUAUAUCUCCUAUCAAUCCUCUCACAAACUCAACUGAGACCAUGCCGCGUACAUCGUAUGACUAAUUAGUUCUCGCCCUUUCCCCUUUUUUGGUUUGCUCUCCAGAACACGGAACUGCAACCAUUCUCUUGGUUUUGGAUAAUGUGAUAGUUAUUGCGGCGGAUUUGAGAUUAAGCUCCAUCACCAAUUAGAUAGUGAAGCCUCAUCGGUUUAAGGUUAGGAAGAUUGGAGAAAAUCCAGCUUCGGUCGCUUGUUACAGCGGGUGCGGAAAACAUGUUAGAUCACUUAGAGGACAAGGGAAGAAAACACGUUCACACAAAUCGCUAAUUUGAGCCGCGUCCAAAUUUAUGAAGAACAAUGUGCCUUGAGAAUCGUUUGGAGCCCAUCUUGCCUCCAUAGAUUCUAAACCAAUGGCACACUUGGUUGUGCACGAGGUCAAACUGCAACAUGUGGCCGAUUGUCGGUGUGGGACAAGUGUAAUUGUUGGGACAUAAACUCAAUCUCUAAAGACAGAUACUGCGCACAGAGGACUCAAGGACUAUAUUGUCUGGGUAGUGGAGGAAAUGUUGCAUGCUAUUAUGUAGCUUUCAAAUACAAGUUGAAAGUUUACCUUCGUUUAUGUGAUUGUACUGCAUGCUUACGAAUGUACAGAAUAGCAUGCAUCAUUUCCUCCAUUGCCCAGACAGUAUAUUCCUCGAGUCCUCUUUGCACAAUAUCUGUCUUUUUGAGUCUAUAUCCCAGCAAUUACACUUGUCCUAGUUAGCUUCCCAUCGACAACCGGCCACAUGUUGCGGUUUAGCCUCAUGCAAAACCAAGUGCGCCAUUGGUCUAGAAUCUAUCAAGGCACGAUGACCUCCAAACGAUUUCCAAGGCACAUUGUUCUUCAUAAAUUUGGAUGUGGCUCGAAUUAGCGAUUUGUGUGAACAUGUUUUCUUCCCCUUGUCCUCUAAGUGAUCUAACCUGUUUUCCGCACCCACUAUAUUUUCGUUGUAAUAAGCGACUGAAGCUAGAUUUUCUCUAAUCUUCCUAACCUUAAACCGAUAAAGCUUCACUAUCCAAUUGGUGAUGGAGCUUAUUCUCGAAUCUGCCGCAAUAACUAUCACAUUAUCCAAAACCAAGAGAACGGUUGCAGUUCCGCGUUCUCCAAUGACAGUACCAACUGCAAAACCGAGGAACAAAUCUAAAUUGUUUGUCUUCACAAUUUCUUGUUUAAGAACAGCCGGCUAAGCAGCAAUUGUACGUUUAGUUGCUAGCACAUUUAAUUGAACUGUAACAAUAUCUACUUGGAUAAAGAAAUCAAUUAGUCAUUUCAUAGGUCUCCAAUGACAGUAGCAAAAACCCCACUUGAAAAACCAAUGAACAAAGCUAAAGAUAAGCAGUAAGUUCAUUUAGUUACUAGUACACUCAAUUUGACUUGCAUAAAACCAUGACAAUCCCCUACUUGGAUAAGAAAUCUAUAAGUGAUGGCACUGAUCUAUAGGAAAAACUAGCAAUCGUGCUCGUGCGAUGCUGCGGGCGUAAAAUUAAAUACGUUCAAAUGCAUUUACAACCAGCAUUGAUUCGAAUGAAAUUCAUGAAAGCAUAGGUUAAAGCAUACCUUGUAAGUUGCGCAAGGCGGAAUCUUUUUUUCAUCAUCUCUAGCUUUUGGUUGUUUAAGGUGCAGUAAAAGAUUAAGCAAUUACAUUACAUAGUCUAUUUAAUAAUUUAUCAUUAAGAAGGGUUGCAAUAUACAAAUAUAUAUAUAUAUAUAAAAGAUAAUUCCAGAUUGAAGAUGUCUGGACCCCAUACAUGAUCCAGUUCUUUGCUAGUUGACAUGGGUUAUAUAAUAUUUGUUAGAAUUGUUUAGGCAAUAGAUAUGGAGAUCAUGAGGAGUGGCAACAUACCUUGUAAUCUUUGCGAGGUGGACAUGCAAGACAUCAACAGCAACGUAAAAUUUUUCUUAGGCAUUGGAAAAACUAUAGCAAAAGCUAAAAUGCUAUAAGCAAACGACAGAAAAUUUACAACAAUAACUGAAAACAGAAAUUGCGAACAUGCAAGAUAUCAAUAGCAAUGUAUUCUUCUUAGGAGCAUAUUGUAACCAAACGACAGAAAAUUUAUAACAAUAACUGAAAAUAGAAAUUACAAACGAAAAAAAUAAGCAAAAAUUUGUUUUUUACGAUAUACAUUUCCUGAUGAUUGAAGCUAGAAUAACACUGUAUCUGCUGUUUAACAUUAACCUCACAAUUUUUUUUUUACGAAUUAAAACCAAUGUUUCCCCACCCCUUCUGACCAUUACAAAAGGCAGAAAAAUAAAACUCUCCUUUUAAGUUCUUUAAUCAUUUAGAUAAAUAAAAGAUUCUCUUCCAGUGGUAAUUUUAACCUAACAUCAAAUUUUCCUAAAUUCUAAUCACUCCUUUGUUUUUUUCCAAAAAUGACAAACACAUCUAAUCUAACACCCAUCCAGUUUCGCCAAAGGCAUUCUUUUCCUUUUGACUUUCGCCGAAACACACCGUUUUGUCUAAAGAAAAUGUUAGUCGUCUUCUUUUCUGGUUUCCAACUUUGCAGAAUCCCAAAACAGUGCAACACCAUUGGUGAAGCAUGAUUUCCGAACUGGCAAUGCACAAUGCACCAAAAUUAUAAACGAAUUUUAAUCUAACAUCAAAUUUACCCAAACUCCAAUCAUUCCUCUCAUUUCUUCCAAAAAAUUACAAACACAUUCUAAUCUAACACCCUUCAACGGGGUCCCAAACGGAGAAAAAACGAUAUGACAAAUGACUUACCCAAAAAAUAACAAGACCAGCGGAGGCACUGCCAAAUUUGUGAUUGAUCAAUCAGGGAACCAAAAUGAAAAAUAUCCUCUUAGACACAUGAUCAGAACUGACCCAAAACAAAAUGGUUACAAUUUCAUCCAAAUUAACCAAAACCCAAAACAGUACUUAGAGAACAUACCUCAGUGGUCAUCAAACGAAAAACAAAACCCGAAACAGAUCCUGCCAAAAUCAGUCAACAACUGACGGAAACAAACGCAAAGACCGCAAAAUAUUCACCGUCGAUCGCAACCCCAAAAAUGUUGCGAAGCAAUUUUA